rnacentral:rRNA from 1 species
AGCAGCUGCGGUAAUACGUAGGUGGCAAGCGUUAUCUGAAUUAUUGGGCGUAAAGCGCGCGCAGGUGGUUUCUUAAGUCUGAUGUGAAAGCCCACGGCUCAACCGUGGAGGGUCAUUGGAAACUGGGAGACUUGAGUGCAGAAGAGGAAAGUGGAAUUCCAUGUGUAGCGGUGAAAUGCGUAGAGAUAUGGAGGAACACCAGUGGCGAAGGCGACUUUCUGGUCUGUAACUGACACUGAGGCGCGAAAGCGUGGGGAGCAAACAGGAUUAGAUACCCUGGUAGUCCACGCCGUAAACGAUGAGUGCUAAGUGUUAGAGGGUUUCCGCCCUUUAGUGCUGAAGUUAACGCAUUAAGCACUCCGCCU